rnacentral:rRNA from 1 species
GAUGAACGCUGGCGGCGUGCCUAAUACAUGCAAGUCGAGCGAACAGACGAGGAGCUUACUCCUCUGACGUUAGCGGCGGACGGGUGAGUAACACGUGGAUAACCUACCUAUAAGACUGGGAUAACUUCGGGAAACCGGAGCUAAUACCGGAUAACAUGUUGAACCGCAUGGUUCAACAGUGAAAGACGGUCUUGCUGUCACUUAUAGAUGGAUCCGCGUCGCAUUAGCUAGUUGGUAAGGUAACGGCUUACCAAGGCAACGAUGCGUAGCCGACCUGAGAGGGUGAUCGGCCACACUGGAACUGAGACACGGUCCAGACUCCUACGGGAGGCAGCAGUAGGGAAUCUUCCGCAAUGGGCGAAAGCCUGACGGAGCAACGCCGCGUGAGUGAAGAAGGUCUUCGGAUCGUAAAACUCUGUUAUUAGGGAAGAACAGAUGUGUAAGUAACUAUGCACGUCUUGACGGUACCUAAUCAGAAAGCCACGGCUAACUACGUGCCAGCAGCCGCGGUAAUACGUAGGUGGCAAGCGUUAUCCGGAAUUAUUGGGCGUAAAGCGCGCGUAGGCGGUUUUUUAAGUCUGAUGUGAAAGCCCACGGCUCAACCGUGGAGGGUCAUUGGAAACUGGAAAACUUGAGUGCAGAAGAGGAAAGUGGAAUUCCAUGUGUAGCGGUGAAAUGCGCAGAGAUAUGGAGGAACACCAGUGGCGAAGGCGACUUUCUGGUCUGUAACUGACGCUGAUGUGCGAAAGCGUGGGGAUCAAACAGG